GCGCCCGUAGCUCAAUUGGAUAGAGCGUCUGGCUACGGACCAGAAGGCUAGGGGUUCGAUUCCUCUCGGGCGUA
rnacentral:tRNA from 1 species